rnacentral:rRNA from 1 species
CACGUAGGGCGCAAGCGUUGUCCGGAAUUAUUGGGCGUAAAGAGCUCGUAGGCGGUCUGUCGCGUCGGAUGUGAAAACUCGGGGCUCAACCCCGAGCCUGCAUUCGAUACGGGCAGACUAGAGUUCGGUAGGGGAGACUGGAAUUCCUGGUGUAGCGGUGAAAUGCGCAGAUAUCAGGAGGAACACCGGUGGCGAAGGCGGGUCUCUGGGCCGAUACUGACGCUGAGGAGCGAAAGCGUGGGGAGCGAACAGG